rnacentral:rRNA from 1 species
UUCUUUGUCCUUUUUUUUAGGGAAUAAAGUCGUAACAAGGUCUCCGUAGGUGAACCUGCGGAGGGAUCAUUACAAGUGACCCCGGCUACGGCCGGGAUGUUCAUAACCCUUUGUUGUCCGACUCUGUUGCCUCCGGGGCGACCCUGCCUUCGGGCGGGGGCUCCGGGUGGACACUUCAAACUCUUGCGUAACUUUGCAGUCUGAGUAAACUUAAUUAAUAAAUUAAAACUUUUAACAACGGAUCUCUUGGUUCUGGCAUCGAUGAAGAACGCAGCGAAAUGCGAUAAGUAAUGUGAAUUGCAGAAUUCAGUGAAUCAUCGAAUCUUUGAACGCACAUUGCGCCCCCUGGUAUUCCGGGGGGCAUGCCUGUUCGAGCGUCAUUUCACCACUCAAGCCUCGCUUGGUAUUGGGCAACGCGGUCCGCCGCGUGCCUCAAAUCGUCCGGCUGGGUCUUCUGUCCCCUAAGCGUUGUGGAAACUACGGAUCAGGUAGGGAUACCCGCUGAACUUAAGCUUAA